rnacentral:piRNA from 1 species
UGACAAUCUAACUCAGCCUAUGACUUCAAC